AUGAAGUGCUGAUACAGGCUAAAACAUGCUUGAACCUCAAAACACUUGGCUAAGUGGAAGAAGUCAGGUCCUCUAAGUUGUUGCCAAGAAGGACAACAACCUCGGCUAUUUGGGAGUGGGUAGAGACGGGGUUUCACCAUGUUGCCCAGGCUGGUCUCCAACUCCUGGACUCAAGCCAUCCUCCCACCUCGGCCUCCCAAAGUGCUGGGUUUACAGGCGUGAGCUACCGCACCCAACCUGUGUCUCUGCAUUUAUAUAAAUAAAUAUAUAUACCCAUUUAAA
rnacentral:lncRNA from 1 species